UAGAGGCCUACCAUGGUGGUAACGGGUAACGGGGUGUUAGGGCACGACACCGGAGAGGGAGCCUGAGAAACGGCUACCACAUCCAAGGAUGGCAGCAGGCGCGCAAAUUACCCAAUCCCGACACGGGGAGGUAGUGACAAUAAAUAACAAUACGGGGUUCUUUCGGAUCUCGUAAUUGGAAUGAGUACAAUUUAAAUCUCUUAACGAGGAACAAUUGGAGGGUAAGUCUGGUGCCAGCAGCCGCGGUAAUUCCAGCUCCAAUAGCGUAUAUUAAAGUUGUUGCAGUUAAAAAGCUCGUAGUUGAAUUUCGGGGUUAGUAGGUUGGUCAUGCCUCUGGUAUGUACUGGUCUCACUGAUUCCUCCUUCCUUAUGAACCGUAAUGCCAUUAAUUUGGUGUUGCGGGGAAUUUGGACUGUUACUUUGAAAAAAUUAGAGUGUUUAAAGCAAGCUAACGCUUGAAUACAUUAGCAUGGAAUGAUGAAAUAGGACGUUCGAUCUUAUUUUGUUGGUUUCUAGGAUUGACGUAAUGAUUAAUAGGGAUAGUUGGGGGCAUUAGUAUUCAAUUGUCAGAGGUGAAAUUCUUGGAUUUAUUGAAGACUAACUACUGCGAAAGCAUUUGCCAAGGAUGUUUUCAUUAAUCAAGAACGAAAGUUAGGGGAUCGAAGACGAUCAGAUACCGUCGUAGUCUUAACCAUAAACUAUGCCGACUAGG
rnacentral:rRNA from 1 species